GUAUAAGUCGCAUUUAUUUUUAAACAUUUAAACAAGAACGUUUAGUCUGGAGAGACUGAAUAAAAUUGCAAUAGCAAUAUAGGCUAUAUAUAAACAUAACAAGCCAAAAAGUGAAUGAAGACAUGAAGACAUGAAGGCAUGGAGAAGCAACUGCACCGUUGAUAAGCCCCGGCCAGCAGCACGCUGUUCAAUGACCCAUCUGUGGACUCGUUCCUCCAGCUCUGGCCAUCGGGCUUUCAGCCCCCGGUUAGCUUUCUUUGUUUUUUUCAUCGCAAUUAGAGUUUCCUCGGCUUUUCGCCAGUCCCGGACAAGUUUUUCACUCACCCCAAACUUUCUUUCUGUUGCUCGAUUGCCGUUUUCGGCUGCAUACUUUAUAAUCUGCAGUUUAAAUUGUGCAGUAUAGCUUUUUCUUUUUGGCGGCAUUUUAUUUUGUGUUCUCUUUUGUUUUGUCUACGGUCUAGUUUAUUUAUAAUUUAUUCGGUGGUGCAGUAGGCUUGCAGCGUUCAGUUGUAGGCCUAAUGAAUGACGGUGCCAUCUUGCGGCCGAAGAUUAUGUACGCACAAUUUUGGUAUACAAGUCGCUUCGAAAUAUAAGUCGCAGGGCAAGCCAAACUACAAAAAAACCGCGACUUAUAGUCCGGAAAAUACGGUAUAUGCUUUGCCAUGUUUUUGCUAUUUUUAGAAGUUUCCCUGCGGGCGACCAGGGCGGGCACCGUGUUGGCGACCCCUGAUCUAGAGGAUGUUGUUCAGUAGGUCUGCCACUCUGGUCCCUCUGCUAGGUAGGCUCUGACUCUCUGCUACAAUUAGAUGAAAUGUUUUGAAUCACAGUGAUAUCAUUUGACUUGGUGUGAGUCAGUAACCCUUGCAAAUCACUGGAUAUUAAUAAAUGAUCUGUUACUCAUUUACAAAGUGAAACAUGUGGAAUAAGAACUUACUGUAACAGUCCAACCUCUGUUCCGGUGUUUCCUUUAUAAAUAAAAUAAAAAUGUGAAUCAAAUAUGAACAUUGGAUUCAUUGCAAGGUCAUCAUCAGUGGUGGAUCAAGGUGGUGAUUGGACCCUAGGCUAGAAUUCUUGGGAGGCCCCCAGGCCCG
ensembl:lncRNA